UACGAAGGGGGGCUAGCGUUGCUCGGAAUUACUGGGCGUAAAGGGCGCGUAGGCGGAUGUUUAAGUCGGGGGUGAAAGCCCGGGGCUCAACCUCGGAAUUGCCUUCGAUACUGGACAUCUUGAGUACGGGAGAGGUGAGUGGAACUCCGAGCGUAGAGGUGAAAUUCGUAGAUAUUCGGAAGAACACCAGUGGCGAAGGCGACUCACUGGCCCGUUACUGACGCUGAGGCGCGAAAGCGUGGGGAGCAAACAGG
rnacentral:rRNA from 1 species